CAGUCGCCGCGGGAAUACGAAGGGGGCUAGCGUUGUUCGGAUUUACUGGGCGUAAAGCGCACGUAGGCGGAUCGAUCAGUCAGGGGUGAAAUCCCAGAGCUCAACUCUGGAACUGCCCUUGAUACUGGAAGUCUUGAGUAUGGGAGAGGUGAGUGGAACUGCGAGUGUAGAGGUGAAAUUCGUAGAUAUUCGCAAGAACACCAGUGGCGAAGGCGGCUCACUGGCCCAUAACUGACGCUGAGGCACGAAAGCGUGGGGAGCAAACAGGAUUAGAUACCCGCGUAGUCCCUGUCUCUUAUAA
rnacentral:rRNA from 1 species